UGGGGAAUAUUGGACAAUGGGCGAAAGCCUGAUCCAGCCAUGCCGCGUGUGUGAAGAAGGUCUUCGGAUUGUAAAGCACUUUAAGUUGGGAGGAAGGGCAGUAAGCGAAUACCUUGCUGUUUUGACGUUACCGACAGAAUAAGCACCGGCUACCUCUGUGCCAGCAGCCGCGGUAAUACAGCGGGUGCAAGCGUUAAUCGGAAUUACUGGGCGUAAAGCGCGCGUAGGUGGUUCGUUAAGUUGAAUGUGAAAGCCCCGGGCUCAACCUGGGAACUGCAUCCAAAACUGGCGAGCUGGAGUAGGGCAGAGGGUGGUGGAAUUUCCUGUGUAGCGGUGAAGUGCGUAGAUAUAGGAAGGAACACCAGUGGCGAAGGCGACCACCUGGGCUCAUACUGACACUGAGGUGCGAAAGCGUGGGGAGCAAACAGG
rnacentral:rRNA from 1 species